GGGGAAUAUUGCACAAUGGGCGGAAGCCUGAUGCAGCGACGCCGCGUGAGUGACGAAGGCCUUCGGGUCGUAAAACUCUGUCCUAAGGGACGAUAAUGACGGUACCUUAGGAGGAAGCCCCGGCUAACUACGUGCCAGCAGCCGCGGUAAUACGUAGGGGGCGAGCGUUGUCCGGAAUUAUUGGGCGUAAAGGGUGCGUAGGCGGCCUUUUAAGUCAGGUGUGAAAUCCAUGGGCUCAACCUGUGUAAGCACUUGAAACUGGAAGGCUUGAGUUAAGGAGAGGAAAGUGGAAUUCCUAGUGUAGCGGUGAAAUGCGUAGAUAUUAGGAGGAAUACCAGUGGCGAAGGCGACUUUCUGGCCUUUAACUGACGCUGAGGCACGAAAGCGUGGGGAGCAAAC
rnacentral:rRNA from 1 species